rnacentral:piRNA from 1 species
ACUUUAACAUUGGUGUACUUUCU